GGGGCCGGGAUAAGCAGGGCGGGGCCAGGACAAGCAGGGCGGGCCCGGGAUAGGCAGGGCGGUGCAGGCGGGGCCGGGCGGGAGCGGCCUCCGGGUCCGGGCACGUUCUGGGCAGCCGCAGUGAUCGUACAGCGCUCCGGCCCCAUGGAGGCGGCGCGGCCGCAGCCCGCGGUGGGGCCGGAGCCGCGCGCCGAGGAGAUCGACAUGUCCUUGGAUGACAUCAUAAAGCGCCACAGGAAAGAGCAGACAGAUGCCAGUGCCUUGGGCGACAGCAGAAGGCAGCAGGUCAAGAACAGGAGUUCAGCCUCCGGAUAUAGGCGGCCCCAGUACCGACCCUGGAAGCAGAGGAAUUUGCAAGGACCUAACCGUUUCCGAAGAGGGCUUGGACAGCAGCAGUUCAAUCGGAGACAAUUCAGGAAUGCUUUGCCUGGUCACAAAAGACGAGCAGCUGCUGCAUUUGAUGGAGUGAGUCCUUUAAAUCGCCAAGCAUCAGCUCAGGAGGGCACCAAGAAGAGCAAUGCUUUUGCCAAAAGCAGCAGUGGGCAGCAGGAGGAACAGCCACAGCCAUCUCCAGGCACCAAGAGAUUCAGAGCAGAUGUUGCCAGCAUCUGCACCCCAGAGAGAAGCAGGCCUUUCCUGCUGAACAGGGGAUCGGCGUUCCAGCAGAAGCGGGUGCAGCAGUGGGUCUCCAAAGCCCGCUUCCAGAGAGGGCAGAUGGCGUCUCAAAGAGAAGGGAAAUUGCCAAGGAUGAGAAGGCCUGGAUCCAAGCACCCAUUCCAGCAAAGCCAGAGACCCCCAGCACGGGUGGCCAAGCCCCAGCCCAAGGGGGUACUGCUGAGAUUCAACUUCCGCGCCAUGGCCAACCAGACCAGCCUGACGCUGGAUGAGAGGUUCUCUAGUCUGAGGAAUAAGAGGCGCUUUACAGCAGCCAGGAGCGCCGGACGGACGGUCACCAUGCCUUAGGACCGCGUGCUCAUCAUAGGGACUGCCUGUGACAGUCCAGGCUCCAUGGCAAGGCCUCAAUAAAAGUCGCUAGAUUCCCUUUGAGAUAGCUGAU
rnacentral:lncRNA from 1 species